UGCAGUCGAACGCGAAAGGGGGCAACCCCCGGUAGCGUGGCAGACGGGUGAGUAACACGUGGGUAACCUACCCGGAGGUGGGGGAUAACCCUUCGAAAGGAGGGCUAAUACCGCAUGAUACCGCGGGGACUUCGGUCCUCGCGAUCAAAGCUGGCCUCUGUUUACAAGCUAGCGCCACCGGAUGGGCCCGCGCCCCAUUAGCUAGUUGGUGAGGUAACGGCUCACCAAGGCGACGAUGGGUAGCCGGCCUGAGAGGGCGAUCGGCCACACUGGAACUGCGACACGGUCCAGACUCCUACGGGAGGCAGCAGUGAGGAAUAUUGCGCAAUGGGCGAAAGCCUGACGCAGCGGCGCCGCGUGGAGGAUGAAGGUCUUCGGAUUGUAAACUCCUGUCGAGUGGGACGAAUGCCGUGAGGGUGAACAAUCCUCGCGGUUGACGGUACCGCUGGAGGAAGCCCCGGCUAACUCCGUGCCAGCAGCCGCGGUAAUACGGAGGGGGCUAGCGUUGUUCGGAAUCAUUGGGCGUAAAGGGCGCGUAGGCGGCCGAUCAAGUCGGAGGUGAAAUCCCUCGGCUCAACUGAGGAAUUGCCUUCGAUACUGUUCGGCUUGAGUCCUGGAGAGGGUAGCGGAAUUCCCGGUGUAGCGGUGAAAUGCGUAGAGACCGGGAAGAACACCAGUGGCGAAGGCGGCUACCUGGACAGGUACUGACGCUGAAGCGCGAAAGCUAGGGGAGCAAACAGGAUUAGAUACCCUGGUAGUCCUAGCUGUAAACGAUGGGCACUUGGUGUUGCGGGUAUCGACCCCUGCAGUGCGAAGCUAACGCAUUAAGUGCCCCGCCUGGGGAGUACGGUCGCAAGGCUG
rnacentral:rRNA from 1 species